rnacentral:rRNA from 1 species
CCCUUAGAUGUUCUGGGCCGCACGCGCGCUACACUGAUGCAUUCAACGAGCCUAUCCUUGACCGACAGGUCCGGGUAAUCUUUGAAUCUGCAUCGUGACGGGGAUAGAUUAUUGCAAUUAUUAAUCUUCAACGAGGAAUGCCUAGAAGGCGCAAGUCAUCAGCUUGCGUCGAUUACGUCCCUGCCCUUUGUACACACCGCCCGUCGCUCCUACCGAUUGGGUGUGCUGGUGAAAUGUUCGGAUCGGCCGUUUGUCGCGGUUUCCGCGUCAUGUGGCUGAGAAGUUCAUUAAACCCUCCCACCUAGAGGAAGGAGAAGUCGUAACA